UACGUAGGGCGCAAGCGUUGUCCGGAAUUAUUGGGCGUAAAGAGCUCGUAGGCGGCCUGUCGCGUCGGCUGUGAAAACUCGGGGCUCAACUCCGAGCUUGCAGUCGAUACGGGCAGGCUAGAGUUCGGCAGGGGAGACUGGAAUUCCUGGUGUAGCGGUGAAAUGCGCAGAUAUCAGGAGGAGCACCGGUGGCGAAGGCGGGUCUCUGGGCCGAUACUGACACUGAGGAGCGAAAGCGUGGGGAGCGAACAGG
rnacentral:rRNA from 1 species